rnacentral:rRNA from 1 species
AGUGAACGUUGGCGGCGUGGAUUAGGCAUGCAAGUCGAGCGAUCGUAGCAAUACGGGAGCGGCAAACGGGGUAGGAAUACAUCGGAACGUACCUUUUGGUUGAGAAUAGCGUUGGGAAACUGACGGUACUACUCAAUAAAGUCGAGAGACCAAAGGUUUACUGCCGGAAGAGCGGCCGAUGCGAUAUUAGGUAGUUGGUGGGGUAAUGGCCUACCAAGCCUGAGAUGUCUAGGGGGUGUGAGAGCAUGGCCCCCACCACUGGGACUGAGAUACUGCCCAGACACCUACGGGUGGCUGCAGUCGAGGAUCUUCGUCAAUGGGCGAAAGCCUGAACGAGCGACGCCGCGUGCGGGAUGAAGGCCCUUGGGUUGUAAACCGCUGUCAGGGGGAUGAACCGUAAGGUUGACAGAGCCCCAGAGGAAGCACGGGCUAAGUUCGUGCCAGCAGCCGCGGUAAU